rnacentral:rRNA from 1 species
CCUACGGGAGGCUGCAGUGGGGAAUAUUGGGCAAUGGAGGAAACUCUGACCCAGCAACGCCGCGUGAAUGAUGACGGUCUUCGGAGUGUAAAGCUCUUUUCUAAGGGAAGAAGAAAGUGACGGUACCUUAGGAAUAAGCCUCGGCUAACUACGUGCCAGCAGCCGCGGUAAUACGUAGGAGGCGAGCGUUAUCCGGAAUGACUGGGCGUAAAGGGUGCGUAGGUGGGUUGGCAAGUUAGUAGCGAAACUCCAGGGCUCAACCUUGGAACUACUACUGAAACUGUUCGGCUUGAGUGCAGGGGGGGGAAGCGGAAUUCCUAGUGUAGCGGUGGAAUGCGUAGAUAUUAGGAGGAACACCAGUGGCGAAGGCGGGUUGCUAGACUGUAACUGACGCUGAGGCAAGAAAGCGUGGGGAGCAAACAGGAUUAGAUACCCUGGUAGUC